AGCUGAGUGGCGCAGCGGAAGCGCGCCGGGCUCAUAACCCGGAGGGUACGUGACACUUCUAUAUCUCAAUAGAUUGUUGACUAACAAGAACACAGACCUACGAUCGAAACGUAGCUCAGCUA